rnacentral:rRNA from 3 species
AGAGUUUGAUCCUGGCUCAGGAUGAACGCUAGCGGCAGGCCUAAUACAUGCAAGUCGAACGAGAUUAAGAGGCUUGCUUCUUAUGAAAGUGGCGCACGGGUGCGUAACGCGUAUGCAACCUACCUUAAUCAGGGGGAUAGCCCGAAGAAAUUCGGAUUAAGACCGCAUAAAAACACAGGAUAGCAUUAUCCAAUGUUCAAAUAUUUAUAGGAUUAAGAUGGGCAUGCGUGUCAUUAGCUAGUUGGCGGGGUAACGGCCCACCAAGGCGACGAUGACUAGGGGAUCUGAGAGGAUGACCCCCCACACUGGUACUGAGACACGGACCAGACUCCUACGGGAGGCAGCAGUAAGGAAUAUUGGUCAAUGGAGGGAACUCUGAACCAGCCAUGCCGCGUGCAGGAAGACAGCCCUCUGGGUCGUAAACUGCUUUUAUUCGGGAAUAAACCUUUCUACGUGUAGGAAGCUGAAUGUACCGAAGGAAUAAGGAUCGGCUAACUCCGUGCCAGCAGCCGCGGUAAUACGGAGGAUCCAAGCGUUAUCCGGAUUUAUUGGGUUUAAAGGGUGCGUAGGCGGCUUAUUAAGUCAGGGGUGAAAGACGGUGGCUCAACCAUCGCAGUGCCCUUGAUACUGAUGAGCUUGAAUACACUAGAGGUAGGCGGAAUGUGACAAGUAGCGGUGAAAUGCAUAGAUAUGUCACAGAACACCGAUUGCGAAGGCAGCUUACUAUGGUGUUAUUGACGCUGAGGCACGAAAGCGUGGGGAUCAAACAGGAUUAGAUACCCUGGUAGUCCACGCCCUAAACGAUGAAUACUCGCUGUUAGCGAUAUACAGUUAGCGGCUAAGCGAAAGCGUUAAGUAUUCCACCUGGGGAGUACGCCCGCAAGGGUGAAACUCAAAGGAAUUGACGGGGGCCCGCACAAGCGGAGGAGCAUGUGGUUUAAUUCGAUGAUACGCGAGGAACCUUACCCGGGCUUGAAAGUUAGUGAAUGAUCUAGAGAUAGAUCAGUGAGCAAUCACACGAAACUAGGUGCUGCAUGGCUGUCGUCAGCUCGUGCCGUGAGGUGUUGGGUUAAGUCCCGCAACGAGCGCAACCCCUAUGUUUAGUUGCCAGCACGUUAAGGUGGGGACUCUAAACAGACUGCCUGUGCAAACAGAGAGGAAGGAGGGGACGACGUCAAGUCAUCAUGGCCCUUACGUCCGGGGCUACACACGUGCUACAAUGGAUGGUACAGAGGGCAGCAAGCUGGCAACAGCAAGCGAAUCUCAAAAAGCCAUUCACAGUUCGGAUAGAGGUCUGCAACUCGACCUCUUGAAGUUGGAUUCGCUAGUAAUCGCGUAUCAGCAAUGACGCGGUGAAUACGUUCCCGGGCCUUGUACACACCGCCCGUCAAGCCAUGGAAGUUGGGGGUACCUAAAGUAUGUAACCGUAAGGAGCGUCCUAGGGUAAAACCGAUAACUGGGGCUAAGUCGUAACAAGGUAGCCGUACCGGAAGGUGCGGCUG